GUGUGUGUGUGUGUGUGUGUGUGUGUGUGUGUGUGUGUGUGCGUGUUAUUGUCCCACAUCUAUCUAUCUCUUCUUAACUCACACACUGCCUCUGAAGAUGUCCUCUUGAAACGGUUAUCUUACAGGGCUAAAGUUUGGCAUCCUGGCCAUCACCAUCUUGGAUUUUUGGAGCCGGAGAUGACCAUAUGUGGACGAGAGGAUGGAGCUGUUGUGGAGAAAAGGUACAAUGGGAGCUAUUUGAAGAAAGGCUGACGUCUGAGUGCUGUGCUAAAGUCUGGUUUAUUACCACAGUGGACGAUCACUGCAGGUCAGAGCCUGCAGGCUGCAAUUCACAUCCACAGGCCUGAUGCUCUGUCUGCAGAGGAAUCAGACCUGUGAUGCUUCAAACCUGCCACCUGUUGCUAAAAGGCGCUUACAAAAGCUAAUGUAUUUUAGAAGCA